AUCCAGCUGGCGAGUCCCAAAUAAGACUAAAUACACGUCCUGGAU
rfam:Schistosoma rodhaini strain Burundi genome assembly, scaffold: SROB_scaffold0002176